GAUGAACGCUAGCUACAGGCUUAACACAUGCAAGUCGAGGGGCAGCAUGGUCUUAGCUUGCUAAGGCCGAUGGCGACCGGCGCACGGGUGAGUAACGCGUAUCCAACCUGCCUUACACUCUUGGACAGCCUUCUGAAAGGGAGAUUAAUACAAGAUGUUAUCAUGAGUAAGCAUUUUCGCAUGAUUAAAGGUUUACCGGUGUAAGAUGGGGAUGCGUUCCAUUAGAUAGUAGGCGGGGUAACGGCCCACCUAGUCUUCGAUGGAUAGGGGUUCUGAGAGGAAGGUCCCCCACAUUGGAACUGAGACACGGUCCAAACUCCUACGGGAGGCAGCAGUGAGGAAUAUUGGUCAAUGGACGAGAGUCUGAACCAGCCAAGUAGCGUGAAGGAUGAAGGUUCUAUGGAUUGUAAACUUCUUUUAUACGGGAAUAAACGAAUCCACGUGUGGAUUUUUGCAUGUACCGUAUGAAUAAGGAUCGGCUAACUCCGUGCCAGCAGCCGCGGUAAUACGGAGGAUCCGAGCGUUAUCCGGAUUUAUUGGGUUUAAAGGGAGCGUAGAUGGGUUGUUAAGUCAGUUGUGAAAGUUUGCGGCUCAACCGUAAAAUUGCAAUUGAUACUGGCAGUCUUGAGUACAGUUGAGGUAGGCGGAAUUCGUGGUGUAGCGGUGAAAUGCUUAGAUAUCACGAAGAACUCCGAUUGCGAAGGCAGCUUACUAACCUGUAACUGACAUUGAUGCUCGAAAGUGUGGGUAUCAAACAGGAUUAGAUACCCUGGUAGUCCACACGGUAAACGAUGAAUACUCGCUGUAGGCGAUAUACAGUCUGCGGCCAAGCGAAAGCAUUAAGUAUUCCACCUGGGGAGUACGCCGGCAACGGUGAAACUCAAAGGAAUUGACGGGGGCCCGCACAAGCGGAGGAACAUGUGGUUUAAUUCGAUGAUACGCGAGGAACCUUACCCGGGCUUAAAUUGCAACCGAAUAUGGCGGAAACGCUAUAGCUAGCAAUAGCGGUUGUGAAGGUGCUGCAUGGUUGUCGUCAGCUCGUGCCGUGAGGUGUCGGCUUAAGUGCCAUAACGAGCGCAACCCUUGCCGAUAGUUACUAACAGGUUAUGCUGAGGACUCUGUCGGGACUGCCAUCGUAAGAUGUGAGGAAGGUGGGGAUGACGUCAAAUCAGCACGGCCCUUACGUCCGGGGCUACACACGUGUUACAAUGGGGGGUACAGAGGGCUGCUACCACGCAAGUGGAUGCCAAUCCCAAAAACCUCUCUCAGUUCGGAUUGAAGUCUGCAACCCGACUUCAUGAAGCUGGAUUCGCUAGUAAUCGCGCUUCAGCCACGGCGCGGUGAAUACGUUUCCCGGGCCCU
rnacentral:rRNA from 1 species